AUACUUACCUGGCAGGAGCAAUGCCAUGAUCGUGAAAGUAGCUUUCCCAGAGUGAGGCUUACCCAUUUUAUUCUAGUUAUGCUAACCCCUGAGAUUUCCCCAAAUGCAAAGAACUCCACUACAUAAUUUGUAGUAUUGGGGGGACUGCAUUUUCACUUUCCCCUG